rnacentral:lncRNA from 1 species
CAGGAUGACAUACACAGUAUGCUAUUAAAAGCACAGUAACCCUUAUACUCAUAAGUUCCUAACCAUUCGUGGAUAGUUAGGAUGAAAGAAAGAAGAAAAAUUGAUUGAGAUAUUCAAAGAGAAGAAAAAUUGAGAAAUUUGAUUUCGCUUCAAUUUCUCUUCUCUAUCUCAUCAUAACCAUCCAUCAAAAUUAAUGAAUAAUUAGAAACUUAGAAACAUAAGGACUAUUGUGCUUUGAUGUUACAUUUGAAUUUAUAUUUUAAAAAUUUAAAUUUAAAAUAAUAUAUUUUGAAAUAUGAUAAAGAGAAGUAAUUAUUUCGGAUCCUGGUUUUGGAUUCGGUUUCGAAUUUUGAAAUUUUUGUUGGAUUCGAGUUUGGAUAUGAAUUUUUAAAAUCCGUCAGAUUCAUAUUCAAUUUUCAGAUUUGAUAAUCCCCCCUCCCCCUUUUUUCUUUUGGAUCAGCCAUUCAUAUCUCUAUAACUUAAAAUGAUCAACCAAUCACUAAUUUGCUGUCUAACUGUUUGCCAAAUGAAGCACCCAAAAUAUCUCUACGCAGAUUUUUUUUUUUUGAGAAAAAAAAAAUACUAUCCACUUCGUUUAUUUUUUAAAAAUAAACUUAAUUAGAAAUGUGAAACAAUUAGAUCAAAGUUCGAACUU